rnacentral:rRNA from 1 species
GAUGAGCGCUGGCGGCGUGCCUAAUACAUGCAAGUCGAGCGAACAGACGAGGAGCUUGCUCCUUUGACGUUAGCGGCGGACGGGUGAGUAACACGUGGGUAACCUACCUAUAAGACUGGGAUAACUUCGGGAAACCGGAGCUAAUACCGGAUAAUAUUUCGAACCGCAUGGUUCGAUAGUGAAAGAUGGCUUUGCUAUCACUUAUAGAUGGACCUGCGCCGUAUUAGCUAGUUGGUAAGGUAACGGCUUACCAAGGCAACGAUACGUAGCCGACCUGAGAGGGUGAUCGGCCACACUGGAACUGAGACACGGUCCAGACUCCUACGGGAGGCAGCAGUAGGGAAUCUUCCGCAAUGGGCGAAAGCCUGACGGAGCAACGCCGCGUGAGUGAUGAAGGUCUUCGGAUCGUAAAACUCUGUUAUUAGGGAAGAACAAACGUGUAAGUAACUGUGCACGUCUUGACGGUACCUAAUCAGAAAGCCACGGCUAACUACGUG